rnacentral:rRNA from 1 species
GAUGAACGCUGGCGGCGUGCCUAAUACAUGCGAGUAGAACGCUGAAGGAGGAGCUUGCUCUUCUGGAUGAGUUGCGAACGGGUGAGUAACGCGUAGGUAACCUGCCUGGUAGCGGGGGAUAACUAUUGGAAACGAUAGCUAAUACCGCAUGACAACAGUUAUUGCAUGAUAACUGUUUAAAAGGGGCAACUGCUCCACUACCAGAUGGACCUGCGUUGUAUUAGCUAGUUGGUGAGGUAACGGCUCACCAAGGCGACGAUACAUAGCCGACCUGAGAGGGUGAGCAGCCACACUGGGACUGAGACACGGCCCAGUCUCCUUCGGGAAGCAGCAGUAGGGAAACUUCGGGAAUGGGCGGAAGACAGACCGAGCAACGCGGCGUGAGUGAAGAAGGUUGUCGGGUGGGAAAUCACGGUUGUAGGAGAAUAACGAGUGUUAGAUUGGAAAGUUCACACUGUGACGGUACCUGACCAGAAAGCGACGGCUAACUACGUG